rnacentral:rRNA from 1 species
AGACCGAUAGCAAACAAGUACCGUGAGGGAAGAUUGAAAAGAACUUUGAAGAGAGAGUUCAAUAGUACGUGAAACUGUGUGGUGGUAAACAGAGGGGUUCUCGAAGUUUCUGAGGGGAACUCAACCUUGGUGUUGGGCAGUCAGGGCGUAUCCGAUCAGCAAUGACUGUGCGCUCUGUCUGGCUCGGCUCUCGGGUGCACUUCCCCCUCAGUUUACGGCAGGAACUGUUUGGCACGGACCGAAGGCCGCGGGUGAAGUUGUCGCUUAUGGUGGCAGCCCUGUGUGUCCUGGCUCUGCGCCCGACAGGUAUGUGAGAGGACUCGUAUAGCGAGCAAUGCUCUGUUGCAGUUCUCAUCUCUCUGCCGAGUAGGUCGGUGGCCCCUCUGACCCGUCUUGAAACACGGAC